rnacentral:sRNA from 1 species
GGAGCAGACGGAAUGAAUAACCUGCCCACAACCCUCAGCAAAAAAUAUGUGGGUGUCAGAACUUGAGUGGGGAAGGAGGGGGAGAAGAGAACCCAGGAGAGAGUGGGGGAGGCACAGGCUCCAGUCAGCAUCUGCUGAGAGGCUCCUGCCCAUCUCCGAGGCAUUCGCAGGGGAAGGCCUGGAAUGAGAGCCUCGGACAAGGAGCAUAGAUUAAGGACCCUGCCUCCCCUCCUCUCACCUGCCCAGACCUGUUGCAUUGGAUACGUAGUGAGGGUCCACCUUCUUGUCUCCCUGAAACAUGUUCUCCUACAUGCCCCAGACUGACUCUCCAGGCCCUUUUUCUAGAAUCACUCAACAUUUUUAGCUGGUACCUCUCCUAAGAAAUUCCAGAGGGAGCACUUUCUUUGAUUGAUCCUGAACUUCUUGGAGGGUCAAAUGUGGAGAAAUGAGGGGACUCCUUUAUUCUAUUAAUAGUAUCCCAGGAGCUGAGGAGCACAAAGACAGCUGUGAUGCAAAGGAAACAUGAUGGGCUUUAAAAUCAGAAGGGCUGAGUUCAGAUUCUACCUGUGCCAUGUAUUACCUGUGUGACCUUAGGCAAGUUGAUUAACUGCUCUGGGCCUCAGUCUUUCCACCCUGAAAAGGGCAAUAAUGACACCCACCUCACAGGAUCAAAUGGCCAAUGUGUUUAAGUGCCUCUUGCAAAUUACAGGGCCCUAAACUAUUGUCAUCAGAAGCAAGUGAAAAAUCUCCAGCUGCUGGAUUCUCUGCGGAAAUAUUUUGACCCCCAGCCAAGCUACUCUUUGCCAAGCUGCAGGAGCUGAUGAAAUAAAUUCUUGUUUUAAUAUCAUCUUUGUUUAAUACUAGAGACAAUUAGGAGAUUAAAUCUGCAACAAAAAGAAAAAUAGUAAUAUAUCACCCUGGAGCCCAAAAGUAGUUUGUUUUGUUUGUUUGUUUGCAUUAACUGCAGUUCUGGGUUAUUUAUUCCCCUUAUUUUAAAGCAAAUGAGAGUUGGUCUCUGUGAUUUAGUUUAAGUUGAUGGAGUAAGGAGGACAAUGAUCAUGUGUGCAUCAUCGGCUCUGUGCUAACCACCGUCUUGUCUAAUUUCAUUCUCAUUAUGGCCUCUGAGAGAAACAUGAUUAUCUUCAUAGAGAAGAGAAUCAGAGGCUCAGAAAGGUUAAGUAACAUGCCCAGGGAAGCACAGCUAGUAAAUGGCAGAGGUGGGAUUUGAUUUCAGGACUGCCUGACUCCAGAGCCUAUGUUCAGAGGGACCAUUGGAGGGCAAACCCAGGGCCCAGUUGAAGGGGUUCCCAUCUUAAGAUGCUCUACAGGCACAGGCUCAGGGCUUUCAUUUCUUCCUUGCUCAUUAACAAGCCAUAUUGGUGUCCCUUGGCGCUUGACAGCCCCCUCGGUGGCACCCUCAGGUCUCAGCGGAGGAGGUGGAGCCCCCGGAGAGCUCAUCGUCAACUGGACGGUAAGCUGCAAGGGUCAGAUGUCCUCCUCCUCCUCCCCGACUCCUCUCCUGCUUGAGCAGCUGCAGAAGGGACCACUGCACAGCUCUGACUCAAACGCGGAUAACUUCCUGUCCCCCUUCCACGCACCCGCUGCCCCUUACGCGAAUCCACGCUGCAGGCGCAGGCGUCCAGGGCCGCUACUCUUGGCAAAGGUUGGGUGGGGACAGGGAACGGGCAGGGACACGUGCCGCGGACCCUCGCCCAUGCCACGCUCUUGCCCCUCAGCCCAUGUCACGGGAGUACCAGAACGGAGACGGCUUCGGCUACCUGCUGUCCUUCCGCAGGCAGGGCAGCACUCACUGGCAGACCGCCCGGGUGCCCGGCGCCGAUGCCCAGUACUUCGUCUACAGCAACGAGAGCGUCCGGCCCUACACGCCCUUUGAGGUCAAGAUCCGCAGCUACAACCGCCGCGGGGAUGGGCCCGAGAGCCUCACUGCACUCGUGUACUCAGCUGAGGAAGGUGGGCUGCCCCCGGGCCCACUGCUCGUCCCUACCCCAGCCACUUGUCCACAGGGGUGUGGGGUGGAGGAACGCUGCUCAUCUCCCAGCUCAGUUCCAUAGGAUGAGGUUGAGAGGACACCUGGGUUCCACACCACUGGCCUCACUUCCAGCUCUUGCUACCUUGUCUCCCUUCGGGGUUAGGAAAAGGGAGGCUGUCUGGGAAGAGAAGUGGGCCCUGGAGCAUUGCUUGGGGUGCUCCCACUCGGCCUUCAUCCUGAAGACUUUCCUCCAAAAUCUUAAGCAAAGGCCAUCCUGGUUGGGGCUGCUCUGCAGGACACAGGGGAGCCUUGGGAAUCCAAACCCAUUCUGUAUUGGUCCCCAGAGCCCAGGGUGGCCCCUACCAAGGUGUGGGCCAAAGGGGUCUCAUCCUCAGAGAUGAACGUGACCUGGGAACCCGUGCAGCAGGACAUGAAUGGUAUCCUCCUGGGGUAUGAGGUGAGCACCAACCUGGGGGCUUGGGAGAGGAAGGGGUGCUGGGGCUUCAAAGCCAGGUGGGAACAACUCACAGAUCACUAAUCAUUCCUCCUGGCAUCCCUGGUUCGCUGACAUGGCAAGCUGAGCAUCCAGUCUAUGCAGCACUGUGAAUGCAAAUUUCACUAAGACCCCAUGGCAGGCCGGGCACGGUGGCUCAUGCCUGUAAUCCCAGCACUUUGGGAGGCUGAGGCGGUAGACCUCCUGAGAUCAGGAGUUUGAGACCAGCCUGGCCAACAUGGUGAAGCCCCGCCUCUACUAAAAAUGCAAAAAUUAGCUGGGC